UUUUUUUUUCCUUGAGCACGGAGUUUGCCUCCUUUCCUCUUCUUGGAAAUUUUGUGCAGUUUCAGAAGUUCGUAUUUUGUGCAGUGAAGUAUGUGAAUCCCAUUACUAAACUUUGUAUCAUACGAGCAUCAAGGGAGGAGUAUCAAAGAGUUUGGGCUGCAAUAACCAUGGUCCGGAGUGUAGGGAGUUGCCCCGUUGUGUUCAACCUACUAGACCUAAGUGGUGAGUUGUAGUGUUAAAAGGGUUCUUAAGUGGAAUGCAGUUUUCUCUUUGAAGUCAUUUUAACAUUGGUCUCUGAAUGGCACAUAUCCUUGUAUUCUUAUAUUCAUUGAUAGGUCUUCGUCGCAGCAAAUGUAACACAGUACUUUUACAUUUUCUCCUCCCAGGUAGCAUCAGGGCAUGUAGAGCUGCAGCAUUGAAAUGUGAUGAGUUCAAAUUUCAGCAAUACCAGUCAUUGGCCGGAGCUCGACUCACCCCAGAGGUUCAACAGCAAAUGCAGAGUUAUCUAGAUAAGAUCAAAGUUUUGGAACACUGAUGUAAAGAAAUAGACCUUGGGCCUACCUCAACUCAAAUGCUAGCUCCUCCCUCCCUUGAAUUGCAAACACCUAUCGAGACUCCAAAGAACAUCGACUGCAUCCUCUCUUGGAUAGCAUAUUUACCCGCAAAAGCCUACAAUGAGCCAAUGCUCAAGUGUUUUCUCCAGCGAUUGUCCAACAACCUGGUUAUUUCCUUAAAUUAUGAGACACAUGCUUGCGCGAAAGAAUACCUACUAACAUGAGAUCCCCUUUUUGUUAACUUUGCAUGAUGCCAUUUAAUAGUUGUUUGUAGUAUCGUUGUGAUAAUGACAAUGCUCUCAUUUUCUCAUUAUUAAAGUUCUAUUGGAAAAAUAACAGCGUCUCAGAGCUAAGUAACUCUGUUUGCAUCAUAGGAAAUGAAUGAAGAAGAACCAAAGCUAAAGAGGUGAAAAUUAGUGAGGGAUUAGCUUUUAUUUUACAUUGUUUCAUUAGUAAUAGCUCAAAGAAAUUUAUUUGAUAUGUACUUAUUUAUAAAGAAGGCUGUAGAGUAAUAGGAUUGCUGGCUAUUCAGAUAAGAUGCAAAGCCAGUGAAAAUAUGUUUAAAAUUGGUUCAUUAAGGAAGCUAUUUAGAAGUUGAAGUAGACAUGAACUUCAUUAAAAAGGAUGAAGAUUUGUCAGUAAAAUUUAUUUAUUUCACUUGAAAUAGUUCUCUAACAAGUUUUUCAGUAUUGCUACUCUACUCCGAUGUUGUCUUUUCUCGGACAACAACUAAGACAUAGGUUGGCUCGAGCUUCCCUGGGCAUAUCUUCGUUACCAUUACUAUGUCAGACCACGCCUUAUGAUGAAAGGGGGAGAACGGACGGAUCACUUAUAGCUUAAUGAAGAAAUGAAAUGAAAUAAAAAUCGACAAUCCGACAAAUGGGAAUAUACAACAAAAUCUAUCAACAAGGGGAUGUAGCUCAGAUGGUAGAGCGCUCGCUUAGCAUGCGAGAGGUACGGGGAUCGAUACCCCGCAUCUCCACUUUUUUGAAUAAGUUAACAUGACGUAUUUAUAUCUAUUCUUUUUUUGUUUUUAAAGAUGCUGUAAAUUAUGUUUUCUUUAAAUUAAUUAUACGGUCAGAUAAAAUAGAAUGACCGGUAUAUAGAAAAAUAUUUCACAUGGAAAAAGGUGUCUGCAUUUGGAGUACGAAUCCACGUGAUAAUUUUUUUUCCUCCAAUUGUUGGGCUUAAAUUGAGCGAACUCAAGUCUGCCACAAAAAUCUAAGUAACGAUUGGCACAAAGUUCAAUGCAUCACACAUUAGAUAAGAAAUUACCAAGAAAUAAUCCCCACCCACCCACCCACGCACCUACUCCAUUACCCCAUCAAAAUCCUCAAAAUAAUGAUAAUAAUAGUCUAAUACAAGGGUGGAUAUACAUUAUAUCUUCAACAAAGACAAGAACUCUGUUUUUUCACUGACACCCUACUGCCAAUAAUUGACUUAGACUCGUCUUUCUUUAUAUCUGAACAUUUAUCUGAUCUAAAAAUACAAUCUUGAAUAUACCCUUUAAAGGAAAACUCAAGAUCUUGAGUUUUUUUUAAGGUAUAAGAAAUCAUGGGAAAAACAACAAGGAAACUGGAAGUGGUUUCUCCUGUUCCUGCAGAUAUAGAUAUUGCUAAUUCUGUUGAACCACUUCAUAUUUCUGAGAUUGCUCAAGAACUCAAUCUUAAUCCCCAGCAUUAUGAUUUAUAUGGCAAGUAUAAAGCAAAGGUAUUACCUUUUUUCACAGGUUAUUGUUGUAUGCAGAUUCAUGUGUUAGGAUAUGUUUUAUUAUUUCACUUCUGUUUGAUUUUUGUUAGCACCCUGUUGUUGUAGAUUUUGGUUUACUUUUGUAGUUCAUGUUGAUUGGUGAUUAGAAGAAUAUGUGUGUAUUGGUUGAUAUUCAUUUUCUGAUAAAAGUAUUGCCUAAUGAAAACUAAAAGUUCAAAUAAUAACUCAAUCUUAACCUUCAGUAUUAUAUCUCUAUGGCAAGUAUAAACCAAAGGUACUACCUUUUAUAUGUGUGUGUGUUAACAUAACUGUUCUGGAUUUUCUGUAG
rnacentral:lncRNA from 1 species